GACGUAGGGCGCGAGCGUUGUCCGGAUUUAUUGGGCGUAAAGAGCUCGUAGGCGGCUCGUUGCGUCGGCUGUGAAAACCCGCAGCUCAACUGUGGGCUUGCAGCUGAUACGGGCGGGCUGGGAUUCGGUAGGGGAGACUGGAAUUCCUGGUGUAGCGGUGAAAUGCGCAGAUAUCAGGAGGAACACCGAUGGCGAAGGCAGGUCACUGGGCCGCAACUGACGCUGAGGAGCGAAAGCAUGGGGAGCGAACAGG
rnacentral:rRNA from 1 species